GUGGUGGCUCAGCGGUCGAGUGCUCGCCUAGCGUGUUCGAGGCCCUGGGUUCGAUCCUCAGCACCACA
rnacentral:tRNA from 1 species